UUCUGGCUCAGGAUGAACGCUGGCGGCGUGCUUAACACAUGCAAGUCGAACGGAGUUAUAUGAAACCUAGUGAUUAUAAACUUAGUGGCGGACGGGUGAGUAACGCGUGGGUAACCUGCCUUAUACCGGGGGACAACAGUUAGAAAUGACUGCUAAUACCGCAUAAGCGCACGGUAUCGCAUGAUACAGUGUGAAAAACUCCGGUGGUAUAAGAUGGACCCGCGUCUGAUUAGCCAGUUGGUGAGGUAACGGCCCACCAAAGCAACGAUCAGUAGCCGGCCUGAGAGGGUGAACGGCCACAUUGGGACUGAGACACGGCCCAAACUCCUACGGGAGGCAGCAGUGGGGAAUAUUGGACAAUGGGGGAAACCCUGAUCCAAGCGACGCCGCGUGAGUGAAGAAGUAUUUCGGUAUGUAAAGCUCUAUCAGCAAGGAAGAUAAUGACGGUACUUGACUAAGAAGCCCCGGCUAACUACGUGCCAGCCGCGGC
rnacentral:rRNA from 1 species